UUAUGGCCAUAUCAUGUUGAAACAUUGGUUCCUGUGUGAUCACCAAAGUUAAGCAACAUCAAGCCUGGUCAGUACCUCGAUGAGUGACUGCUUGGGAAUACCAGGUGUU